AGGACGAACGCUGGCGGCGUGCUUAACACAUGCAAGUCGAGCGGUAAGGCCUUUCGGGGUACACGAGCGGCGAACGGGUGAGUAACACGUGGGUGAUCUGCCCUGCACUCUGGGAUAAGCCUGGGAAACUGGGUCUAAUACCGGAUAUGACCUGCUCUCGCAUGGGGGUGGGUGGAAAGAUUUAUCGGUGCAGGAUGGGCCCGCGGCCUAUCAGCUUGUUGGUGGGGUAAUGGCCUACCAAGGCGACGACGGGUAGCCGACCUGAGAGGGUGACCGGCCACGACUGGGACUGAGGCACGGCCCAGACUCCUACGGGAGGCAGCAGUGGGAAUAUGCACAAUGGGACGAAAGCCUGAUGCAGCGACGCCGCGUGAGUGAUGAAGGUCCGUUAGGGUUGUAAAGCUACGUUUACCCGAGAU
rnacentral:rRNA from 1 species